rnacentral:rRNA from 1 species
UAGUGCCUACGGGAGGCAGCAGUGGGGAAUAUUGGGCAAUGGGCGCAAGCCUGACCCAGCAACGCCGCGUGAAGGAAGAAGGCUUUCGAGUUGUAAACUUCUUUUCUCAGGGACGAAGCAAGUGACGGUACCUGAGGAAUAAGCCACGGCUAACUACGUGCCAGCAGCCGCGGUAAUACGUAGGUGGCAAGCGUUAUCCGGAUUUACUGGGUGUAAAGGGCGUGUAGGCGGGGAAGCAAGUCAGAUGUGAAAACCAGGGGCUCAACCUGUGGCCUGCAUUU